rnacentral:tmRNA from 1 species
GGUCUACGUGUUCGUGCGGUGACCAGGACCUAAGACACUCUUCACGGACUGCGCCCGGAGAAGACCCGGUGAUUCGUCGACGGACGCGGGUUCGAUUCCCGCCAUCUCCACCC